CUUACUGCAGUCGACGGUAACAGGUCUUCGGGUGCUGACGAGUGGCGAACGGGUGAGUAAUACAUCGGAACGUGCCCAGACGUGGGGGAUAACGAGGCGAAGGCUUUGCUAAUACCGCAUACGAUCUAAGGAUGAAAGCAGGGGACCGCAAGGCCUUGCGCGUUUGGAGCGGCCGAUGGCAGAUUAGGUAGUUGGUGGGAUAAAAGCUUACCAAGCCGACGAUCUGUAGCUGGUCUGAGAGGACGACCAGCCACACUGGGACUGAAACACGGCCCAGACUCCUACGGGAGGCAGCAGUGGGGAAUUUUGGACAAUGGGCGAAAGCCUGAUCCAGCAAUGCCGCGUGCAUGAUGACGGCCUUCGGGUUGUAAACUGCUUUUGUACGGAAAGAAUAGGCUCUGGAUAAUAUGUGGUGCACUUGACGGUACCUUACCAAUAAGCCCUGGCUAACUACGUGCCAGCAGCCGCGGUAAUACGUAGGGUGCGAGCGUUAUCCGGAUUUAUUGGGCGU
rnacentral:rRNA from 1 species